GGAUUAGAUACCCUGGUAGUCCACGCCGUAAACGUUGUCAACUUGUUGUGGGGGGAAUUAGCCCCCUCCGUGACGAAGCUAACGCGAUAAGUUGACCGCCUGGGGACUACGGUCGCAAGACUAAAACUCAAAGGAAUUGACGGGGGCCCGCACAAGCGGUGGAGCAUGUGGCUUAAUUCGAGGCAACGCGAAGAACCUUACCUAGGCUUGACAUAUACAGGACAAUUCAUGGAAACAUGAACUUCCUUCGGGACUUGUAUACAGGUGCUGCAUGGCUGUCGUCAGCUCGUGCCG
rnacentral:rRNA from 1 species